rnacentral:rRNA from 1 species
GACGAACCGAGCGAACGUUGUUCGGAAUCACUGGGCUUAAAGGGCGCGUAGGCGGACUGCCGCGUCCGGGGUGAAAUCCUCCGGCUCAACCGGAGAACGGCCUCGGAUACGGGCGGUCUCGAGGCGGGUAGGGGCAAGCGGAACUGUGGGUGGAGCGGUGAAAUGCGUUGAGAUCCACAGGAACUCCGGUGGCGAAGGCGGCUUGCUGGACCCGAACUGACGCUGAGGCGCGAAAGCCAGGGGAGCGAACGGG